AGAGUUUGAUCCUGGCUCAGAACGAACGCUGGCGGCGGGGUUUAGGCAUGCAAGUCGAGGGAGAAAGCUCUUCGGAGUGAGUACACCGGCGCAAGGGUGAGUAACGCUAGUUAAUGUACCCAUCGGACCGGGAUAAUUCACCGAAAGGUGUUGUAAAACCGGAUGACAUAUAGUGAUCUUCGGAUUGCUUUAUCAAAGUUAUGGGAUCCUUCGGGACCAUAAGCCGUUGGAGCGGACUAGCUCCGAUUAGCUUGUUGGUGGGGUAAUGGCCUACCAAGGCGAUGAUCGGUAGCCGGCCUGAGAGGGUGUUCGGCCACACUGGGACUGAGACACUGCCCAGACUCCUACGGGAGGCUGCAGUCGCGAAUCAUUCGCAAUGGACGCAAGUCUGACGAUGCCACGCCGCGUGCAGGAUGAAGGCUUUCGGGUUGUAAACUGCUGUCAAGAGAGGGGAAACACCACGUAUUAAUAGUAUUUGGUUUGACUGCUCUUUAAAGGAAGCACCGGCUAAACACGUGCCAGCAGCCGCGGUAAUACGUGUGGUGCAAGCGUUGUUCGGAAUUACUGGGCAUAAAGGGUGCGUAGGCGGUAUUGUAAGUCAGGGGUGAAAUAUCACGGCCCAACCGUGAAAUUGCCUCUGAUACUGCAGUACUUGAGUGUGUUAGGGGUGAGCGGAACGUUUGGUGUAGCGGUGAAAUGCGCAGAUAUCAAACGGAAGGCCGGAGCCGAAGGGGGCUCACUGGGACACAACUGACGCUGAGGCACGAAAGCGUGGGGAGCAAACAGGAUUAGAUACCCUGGUAGUCCACGCCGUAAACGAUGAGCACUAGGUGGGUGUCUUCUUAUGGAUGCCUGCUGGAGAUAAUUUGUUAAGUGCUCCGCC
rnacentral:rRNA from 1 species